AUGUCUACUUGGAGGUUGUGCCCUUGAGGCGUGGCUUCCGGAGCUAACGCGUUAAGUAGACCGCCUGGGGAGUACGGCCGCAAGGUUAAAACUCAAAUGAAUUGACGGGGGCCCGCACAAGCGGUGGAGCAUGUGGUUUAAUUCGAUGCAACGCGAAGAACCUUACCUGGUCUUGACAUCCACAGAAGAAUCCAGAGAUGGAUUUGUGCCUUCGGGAACUGUGAGACAGGUGCUGCAUGGCUGUCGUCAGCUCGUGUUGUGAAAUGUUGGGUUAAGUCCCGCAACGAGCGCAACCCUUAUCCUUUGUUGCCAGCGGUUAGGCCGGGAACUCAAAGGAGACUGCCAGUGAUAAACUGGAGGAAGGUGGGGAUGACGUCAAGUCAUCAUGGCCCUUACGACCAGGGCUACACACGUGCUACAAUGGCGCAUACAAAGAGAAGCGACCUCGCGAGAGCAAGCGGACCUCAUAAAGUGCGUCGUAGUCCGGAUUGGAGUCUGCAACUCGACUCCAUGAAGUCGGAAUCGCUAGUAAUCGUGGAUCAGAAUGCCACGGUGAAUACGUUCCCGGGCCUUGUACACACCGCCCGUCACACCAUGGGAGUGGGUUGCAAAAGAAGUAGGUAGCUUAACCUUCGGGAGGGCGCUUACCACUUUGUGAUUCAUGACUGGGGUGAAGUCGUAACAAGGUAACCGUAGGGGAACCUGCGGUUGGAUCACCUCCUUACCUUAAAGAA
rnacentral:rRNA from 2 species